AUAUUCGCUGAGUUUUUGAAAAUAUUCAAAAAUUACGAUUUUAUUUAUUCAAUUUUUUCAUAAAUUACAAUAAAUGAAAUAUAUUUUUUUUUAUUCGACGAAAGUAAAGCUGACAUUUAUUUGACUCUAGUAUUUAUUGAGGUAAACGGAAAUUCAAGUUCAACUGAAGAAAAUUCUAGAAUGAUCGACAAUUUGCCGAAAUUAGUAAAUGAUUUAUUUACAAAAUACUUUUAUUUAUCAAUUUAAAAUAUUGACUUGAGAAUAUUCUCGAACGACCUAAAAAUUUGUACAUUAAUGAAAUAACAAACAUUUUAUUUUUAAAUUCAAGACAGAGAUAAGUGAUAUUUUUGUGCGUGUAAGCAGGCGGUAAUCAAACCAAGUGCAAAAAGAAGCGAGAAUCGUGUCUGCAUGAUUCUUGGAUCAGUUGCGUUUAAGAGUGGGUUUUGUGAAGUACCAAUUAAUUAUAUAAGGUGAGUGUUGCACGGAAGGGAAUGUGGAAGACAUCAUGUCAACUUAGUACUCUCAUCACCGACCGUCUUGUGCAGAGGUCAGGAAACCAUGGUGUGACAAAAGGCAUUUGAAAAGUGUUACUGUAGGAAUGAAGGGUGUCAAAUGAAUCCGGACUGACGGCACCCAGCAUUGAAAAUACACCCCGACUGAAUUGAUUGCAAACUUUAACAAAAAGCAUAAGAAAAGUGCGCUCGGAAAAUUAUAUGUGGUACACAUGCGAGAGAUUAUGCCAGACGAUCUACGACGCUCCGUUUAACGCGCGUUUAUACCACUUUAAAUGUAUGGAUGUACGAGAGAGAAAAUGUUAUCUUUAUACAUCAAAUGUAUAUGCAGCAACUUACUCUACUUUAGUUAACUUGACUUUGAAUUCUCGUGGUGGUGGUAUUGCUACUGGUGGAUACUCUGAGUACAACAGGAACGUUAAAUGUAAAGAGUAAAAAGAAUAAAAUGAAUAUGAUGGUAAUGGUGGUCGUAGUAGUGGCAGUGGCAGUGGAUACUACUCGGACCACAAAAUUUGGAUCAUAUCCAAAAAUAUGAUAGACAACGGACGAGACAGCAAUCCUUGGGGCACAAGAAAACUGUUUAAAGGCAUCCGAGCUCACUCCUACAACCGCAGGAGUCCUAUUCUCACUUGUACUUGGCCUCGUCGUCGAGUAAUACGAUAAAGCCACUUUUACAACCUGGCCGCAGGGAAAAUUGAGGGAAACAUCUAGUCUACAAUCGCUCUUAUAUAUCCAAUCAUGUUAUACUCUCUUCUUAUUCUCUACUUUGUGUACAAGCCUGACAACAACCCUUCAGGCCUCACUGAUACUACUUUAACUAUUUUAUAAUAAAACUAUUUUUUUUGUUUAUUAUUACAAUAUCAUAUUUACUUUAUUGUCUAGUAUCGCACUUUAUAUGAUAAUUUGAAGAAAAAAAAAAAGAUUUUAUUUUAAAUUAUUAAUCAUUUGCAUCAUAUGUUUACUGUUUACAUUAUAAACCAUGAGAAAUUUUCAGCCAGCGAUACUUUACAAAAUAUCUCAUUUAUAAUGUGUUAUAAAUUAAAAUGUAAUAAUGAAAAUUUAAGCCCUGAGGGAAUUAAAGUUUUCUAAUUAAAUUUUAUACAUAAAGUAUA